UGACUCAGUUGGUAGAGCAUGGUGUUUGCAACACCAGGGUUGUGGGUUUAAUUCCCAC
rnacentral:tRNA from 1 species